GAUAAACGCUAGCGGCAGGCUUAACACAUGCAAGUCGAGGGGCAGCAUAGAUUGUAGCAAUACAAUUGGUGGCGACCGGCGCACGGGUGCGUAACGCGUAUGCAACCUACCCGUCACAGGGGGAUAAUCCGGAGAAAUCUGGUCUAAUACCCCAUAACAUAUGGAUCGGCAUCGGUUCAUGUUGAAAUUUUCGGAGGUGACGUAUGGGCAUGCGUCGCAUUAGCUUGUUGGUGAGGUAACGGCUCACCAAGGCGACGAUGCUUAGGGGGACUGAGAGGUUUUCCCCCCACACUGGUACUGAGACACGGACCAGACUCCUACGGGAGGCAGCAGUGAGGAAUAUUGGUCAAUGGGCGCAAGCCUGAACCAGCCAUGCCGCGUGCAGGAUGACGGCUCUAUGAGUUGUAAACUGCUUUUGUACGAGGGUAAAGUGGGUUACGUGUAACCUUUUGAAAGUAUCGUACGAAUAAGGAUCGGCUAACUCCGUGCCAGCCGCCGCGGUAA
rnacentral:rRNA from 1 species